GCCUGGGUGGCUCAGUCCGUUGAGCGUCUGACUUCGGCUCAGGUCAUGAUCUCGCGGUCCUUGGGUUCGAGCCCCGCGUCAGGCU
rnacentral:tRNA from 1 species